rnacentral:lncRNA from 1 species
AAUUUUAAUUUUUAAUUUAAGUUCAAUUUAAAAUUAUAUAUUUAAUUUUUAAAUUUUAACUCAUAUUUUAAUUAAAAAAGUUGAAAAAAUAAAUUUAAUCUAAAUAAAUAUCCAUUCCGUCCUUAUUCAACUUCCAAUCCGGCCUCCUAGGCUGGAUUGAAAAAAGAGGUGAUUGGGGAAUUCCCAUUCCACUCGGGAAUCAGAAUCGGAAUGGAACUCCCGCGUACCAAACACCCACAAACGGAUUCACCCAUUCCGAUUCCGAUUCCAGGAUGAAAAAGAAGCGAACCAAACACGCCCUAAGUUUCUACUUCAUUAAAUAUUUAUACCCAAGUGAAGCUGUAGUGUUCCUGAGCUUUGGAUAGGAUUGGCUUCAGUAUUAUAGACUGGUCGACAUCUCUGGAGAGUGUCGGAUUGAGUCGGAGUCAAUU